CUCGUAGGCGGCCAACUAAGUCAGACGUGAAAUCCCUCAGCUUAACUGGGGAACUGCGUCUGAUACUGGAUGGCUUGGAUUCGGGAGAGGAAUGCGGAAUUCCAGGUGUAGCGGUGAAAUGCGUAGAUAUCUGGAGGAACACCGGUGGCGAAGGCGGCAUUCUGGACCGAUAUUGACGCUGAGGAGCGAAAGCCAGGGAGCAAACG
rnacentral:rRNA from 1 species